rnacentral:lncRNA from 1 species
AUCCACCCGCCUCGGCCUCCCAAAGUGCUGGGAUUACAGGCGUGAGCCACCGCGCCCGGCCAAAAAUUUGCUCUUCUGAGCCUCGGUUUCCCCACCUAUGAAAUGGGAAGAACAUUCCUCCUUCUCAGGAUGGUGCUUAAAAGAGCAAACAGUGACUGUUGUCGGGGUGCUUCCCCUUUUUUAUAAAGCACAUUCCCAGCACUGCCUUAUAAAACCUUUAGGAGAAGUGGACAUGCGGGAAUCUCCAUUCUCCACAUUCUACUGAGAGCCAGCCUGAGGCCCAGCUAUGGGCAAGUGGUUCAGAAGCUUCAGGAAGGCCUAUGGACUUAAGAGCUGACUCUGGGCUCAAAGGAACCACCGUGGCGCCCUUGGGAGGCCUAAGGAGGAGAACUGGUGGCUUUAUAAGAAGAGGAAGAGAGACCAAAGCAUAGCAUGUCAGCAUGCCCAGUCCCCUCUCCACGCUAUACCCUGUGCCACCUCCAGACACUUCAGAGACCAGGAAUAAGGCCCUCACCAGAAGUGCCCCCUCAAUCUUGGACUUCCUAUCCUCCAUAGCUGUAAGGAAUAAAUUCCUUUUCUUUCAAAAUUGUUCAGUUUCAGACAUUCUGUUAUAAGCAACAGAAAACAGACUAAAACCACUACCAUAUUGAGCACUACCACCCUGUACCAAGAAUUCCUAACACAUGGUCCAGGGGUACAGCAGAGGCAAAGAGUCUAGGUAGGCUGGAGUUUGGCUCCUAGAUCUACACCAGAAACACCAAAUAGCCUCAAGCCUCAGUU